UCGGCCUGGUGUUUUCACUUCCUUGUCUUCAGAGCUGUAUCCGGGUCGUUGCUUUCCCUAUUGUUUUAGGCAAGGGCCUCGGACUGUGUAAAUUCUGGGUCUUUUGUUGCUUUUGUUGCAGGCUAAUAAAGUUUUUCUUUCUUUUAUUUUUUUUCUAAGAGUUUUAACGGGGAAAAUAAACACCCCAGGGCUGCCGGGCUGCCCGCGCCGCCUGGGCCGGAGGGCGCCUUCGGCCGGGGAGCGCCAAAGGCAGGCGCGCGAGCGGCCGGGGUCGGUUCUGCGAGGACCAGGGGCUGGGGGGCGGGUGGGGCACCGCGCGGCUGCACCUGGGGCGCCCCGGUCUGGUCCGCGGCGCAGCCUGUUUUUCAUAGCCGCUUUUGGACUUGCUUCCUUGGUCUCAGUCCUCGACCUCGGCGCUGCCUGGGCUCUCGCAGCCUCUCCCUAGGUCUCCUCCAAACGACCGUCUCGGAUUCCUUAUGGAUCGCAGCUCCAAGAGGAGGCAGGUCAAGCCUUUGGCAGCUUCUCUGCUAGAAGCUCUCGAUUAUGAUAGUUCAGAUGACAGUGAUUUUAAAGUUGGAGAUGCUUCAGAUUCUGAGGGGAGUGGUAAUGGAAGUGAAGAUCCUUCAAAGGACAGUGGAGAAGGUUCCUGUAGUGAUUCUGAAGAAAAUAUUUUAGAGGAAGAACUGAAUGAAGAUAUUAAAGUAAAAGAAGAACAACUUAAAAAUUCUGCGGAGGAAGAAAUACUUUCAUCAGAAAAACAGUUAAUUAAAGUGGAAAAGAAGGAAGAAGAAGAGAAUGCAGAAAGACCUAGAAAGAAGAAGGAAAAAGAAAAGGAAAAAGAGAAGGAGAAAGAAAAAGAUAAAGAGAAGGAGAGAGAGAAGGAGAAGGAAAAAGCAACAGUAUCUGAUAAUGUGGCUGUGUCUGCUGCUUCUACCACACCAGCCACAAGUCCUCCCGCUGCUAACACAUCUCCUUCCGUCCCCACUACAACAACUACAGACGAACAAGUCAGUGAGCCAAAAAAGUGGAACCUUCGUCGCAACCGACCACUUUUGGAUUUUGUGUCCAUGGAAGAGCUGAAUGACAUGGAUGACUAUGACAGUGAAGAUGACAAUGAUUGGCGACCCACUGUAGUAAAAAGAAAAGGGAGAUCUGCAUCUCAGAAGGAGGGAAGUGAUGGAGACAACGAGGAUGAUGAAGAUGAAGGAAGUGGGAGUGAUGAGGAUGAGAAUGAUGAAGGCAAUGAUGAAGGUCACAGCAGCCCUGCCAGUGAAGGGGGUUGCAAGAAGAAGAAGAGUAAAGUUCUUAGCAGAAACAGUGCUGAUGAUGAGGAACUGACCAAUGAUAGCCUGACACUAUCUCAGAGCAAGAGUAAUGAGGACUCGCUGAUUCUUGAGAAGAGUCAAAACUGGAGUUCUCAAAAAAUGGACCAUAUUCUGAUUUGCUGUGUUUGUCUUGGAGAUAAUAGCGAGGAUGCUGAUGAAAUAAUUCAGUGUGACAAUUGUGGCAUUACAGUCCAUGAAGGUUGUUAUGGAGUUGAUGGAGAGAGUGACUCUAUUAUGAGUUCAGCUUCUGAAAACUCCACUGAACCUUGGUUUUGUGAUGCCUGUAAAUGUGGUGUUUCCCCUAGCUGUGAACUAUGUCCCAAUCAGGAUGGAAUUUUCAAGGAGACAGAUGCUGGAAGAUGGGUUCAUAUUGUUUGUGCCCUGUAUGUUCCUGGUGUAGCCUUUGGAGAUAUUGACAAAUUACGACCAGUAACACUAACAGAAAUGAACUAUUCCAAAUACGGCGCCAAGGAAUGUAGCUUCUGUGAAGACCCUCGUUUUGCUAGAACUGGAGUUUGCAUUAGCUGUGAUGCAGGAAUGUGCAGAGCCUAUUUCCAUGUGACCUGUGCUCAGAAGGAAGGUCUGCUUUCAGAGGCAGCAGCAGAAGAGGAUAUAGCUGAUCCAUUUUUUGCUUAUUGUAAGCAACACGCAGAUAGGUUAGACAGAAAGUGGAAGAGAAAAAACUACUUGGCUCUACAAUCCUAUUGUAAAAUGUCUUUACAAGAGAGAGAGAAGCAACUAUCACCAGAAGCACAGGCAAGGAUCAAUGCCCGGCUUCAGCAAUAUCGUGCCAAAGCAGAACUAGCUCGAUCCACCAGACCCCAGGCCUGGGUUCCAAGGGAAAAAUUGCCCAGACCACUCACUAGCAGUGCUUCGGCCAUUCGUAAACUUAUGCGGAAAGCAGAACUAAUGGGGAUCAGUACAGAUAUCUUCCCAGUGGACAAUUCAGAUACUAGUUCUAGUGUGGAUGGAAGGAGAAAGCAUAAGCAGCCUGCUCUCACUGCUGACUUUGUGAAUUAUUAUUUUGAGAGAAAUAUGCGCAUGAUUCAAAUUCAGGAAAAUAUGGCUGAACAAAAGAAUAUAAAGGAUAAAUUAGAGAAUGAACAAGAAAAGCUUCAUGUGGAAUAUAAUAAGCUAUGUGAAUCUUUGGAAGAACUACAAAACCUGAAUGGAAAACUUCGAAGUGAAGGACAAGGAAUUUGGGCCUUACUAGGCAGAAUCACAGGGCAGAAGUUGAACAUACCAGCAAUUUUGCGAGCACCCAAGGAGAGAAAACCGAGUAAAAAAGGAGGCACACAAAAGACAUCUACUCUUCCUGCAGUACUUUAUAGCUGUGGAAUUUGUAAGAAGAACCAUGAUCAGCAUCUUCUUUUAUUGUGUGAUACCUGUAAACUCCAUUACCAUCUUGGAUGUCUGGACCCUCCUCUUACAAGGAUGCCAAGAAAGACCAAAAACAGUUAUUGGCAGUGUUCAGAAUGUGACCAGGCAGGGAGCAGUGACAUGGAAGCCGACAUGGCCAUGGAAACCUUACCAGAUGGGACCAAACGAUCAAGGAGGCAGAUUAAGGAACCAGUGAAAUUUGUUCCACAGGAUAUGCCUCCAGAACCCAAGAAGAUUCCAAUAAGAAACACGAGAACCAGAGGACGAAAACGAAGCUUCAUUCCUGAGGAAGAAAAACAUGAGGAGAGAGUUCCUAGAGAGAGAAGACAAAGGCAGUCUGUGUUACAAAAGAAGCCCAAGGCUGAAGAUUUACGAACUGAAUGUGCAACUUGCAAGGGAACUGGAGACAACGAAAAUCUUGUCAGAAAUGAUGGAUAUACAAAGUCUUCUUCCUUGGUUUUGCCUUGUUAAGAAGAUAACAUCACAGAUUUUCUGCAAAGGUUUUAAAGAGAUACCCUUCAUGAGAUCCAACUCUGCCACAGCUCAUCCUCGGAGGCAAUCCUGGAAACCUCUUUUAUAAGUGUGAUUUUAAAAAUGUGGAUAACACUCUCAAUAGAGUACAUAAAGUAAAGGAGAACAGCUAUCUUGUCCUUCCCAUAAGCUUAUCACUGCAAAAAGUUGCCUUUGCUUGUCAGGUUUGGAUAGAAUGUAAUUGAUUGGUUUGUUACUUGGACUGACAAGGCAGUUAAUUUGCCUAUGUGGAUUUUUUCCUCCUUUUUUUCUUCAACUUUUUUUUUCUUUUUGCACUAAUCAGAAACAUUUGAUAUGUGCAUUGUUGAAAAAUACAAGAUAAUGUCUUGUCAGAAUUGUCCUAUUAAGUAAUGUCUUCCCCUCUUGCUUCUUUGGCAAAUGAUAUACAGUGUUUGGACUUUCUAAAGAGUUAUGGAAGCCUGUGGGACUUACAUGCAAUGUGCUACUCGUUGUUGAACAAAUCUAGUAACAAACAAGAAAGACAGUGCAUUCCAUUAGUCUGCUAUUUUGUUUCAUCCAACUUAAUACAUAUAUUCAUAUAUGAAAUGCUGCAUUGGGAAACAACUGUAGACUAUAUUAAAUGUUACUUCUAUUCAUAAUAUUCAGCAAAAGUGAAAGACUUGUGAAAGCAUAUGCCAUUUUAGUUUGACUCAUUAGUUCUAGUGUGAAAGCACUAAUAUUAUUAGCAUGUAGUUUUUACCACUUCAGAUUUUAAGAUCAUAAAUGAGGAUAUAUCUGUGUUGAUCUCUAGAUACUUUUUAGUAAUAACCAAAUUUAUUCAGUCUUUAUUGAUUUAAUACAAACUUUCUCUGUUCAAUAUAAUUUUAUUUUUCUCAACCUUAAGUAUGAGGUUACAGAAUAAGGAGAGAGAUACAAAGCUUGACUGUACAACCUGCCAACUGAAAGAUCUUCGUCAACAUCUGUAUCUUUCCAAAGGUUUACAGAAUUAAAAUUUGAUCUUCAAGCUUUAAUGAUCCAGUUUUAAGUCAACGACAGAAAUAUGUUGAAUAUUUCAUCACUUCAUCUUGAACUGAUUUAGAAGAGACUCUUUGCUGAAAUUGAAAUGCAUAUAUACAUGUAAAUUGUCAACAAGUCUCUUGGAAUUUCCUGAUUUAUGAAUGUGGUUUGGGACAUCUUUUCAGGUAUAGUGGCAAUUGAAAAUAGCUUAAACAUUAAGAAUAGAGUAGGAAAUGUUAUAGAUAAUCAAAAGCAAGUGUAAAUAUAAAGUUGCUGUAUGCUAGUAAUCUUUAGUUACACUAAGGAACAUUAUUGGAUAUUUAAUAAAAGUAGUAUGUAUAUAAAAUACGUAUAAACUGAGAUCAUUAACUUAUUGAAAGAUCUUAUAACAUUGGAGGAAAAAUACUAAUACCCUGUAGCAAAACCAGUGAGCUUUUUUUAAUUAGAAAAAAGACUCAUUAUUUAUUACUGUGUAAGCAUGAACAAAAGUUGAUAAUUAUUACUAUUGCUGAACUCCAGCUGAUUUUAAGAAAAAUGGCAGAUUGCCAUUUCCUAAAAGAGAAUAUGCUAAUACAUUGGGACCUGACCCUCCUUUGAUAUAUGGUGAGAAAUUACUAGUGGUCAUUUUAUUUUAGAUUUUUUUGGAAACAUCAUUAAGCCUUGUGGUUUUGGUGUUACUAUUAAUCAAAAUCCUUUCCACCUGGUUCUGUUUAGAAUACCAUAUUAUCAUCAUUCUCCAUCUUACACUUCAGUGGUGGAUAAGCUGUUCCAUAUUUGGUGCUAGCCCUAAGAAUCUUUGUCGCACAUCACAAAUACAAACCACGUAAUUCAUAAUAUCGUUGGUCCUGCAAAUGUGUAUUUGAAGUAGAACUUGUAAAGAGAAUAGAAUAAAACACUUUCUCCUAAUAAUCUCCUAGACACUCUCAUUAUUUCCAUGGUACAAAGUUAACCCUUUUCUGUGAUUGGUACAGUUGUUAUUCAAAGGAGAUAUUAAUGUGUAUUUUAAGGCAAUAUAUAUUAAAUAGGUCAUAUUUUACAGACAUAUACAAGAGAAAACAGCUUGACAGGUAAAUGAUGGUUAUUUGUCACAUAACGGAAAGAAAAAAACACUGAAGUAUCAAGAAGUAAAAUAACUCAAAUACAAGAAGAAUGACGUGGCAGUAUAUAGAGUGGUUCUCAAACUUUAUAGUACAUCAGAAUCACAGGAAGGAUUUGUUUAAAAACAAAUUGCUCACCUACUCACCUCCUUAUUUUCCUCCUCCCUGUUUUCCUCCCUCUUACUUCUCUCUACAGUUUCUGAUUAAGUGGGCCUGGGAUGAGGCAUGAAAAUUUGCAUUUCUAACAAGUUCCCUAGUGAUGCGAAUGCUGCUGGCCAGGGACAUCCUUUGAGAACCAUUUGUAUAUAAUAAUUUUAAAAGAAUCAUGAUAUUGUGGUUGACAUUAAUUGAUUAAAUGUGGCUUUAAUUUUGUUAAAGGGGCCCUUAAAUUUUCAAAAAUUCUUGUUUCUAGAUAAAAGAUUAUAGUAGUUUUAUCUACAGCACAUAGUUUAACUUCUUUAUUAUACAUAAGUUCAGUUAAACAUGUGUUUAUUUUGUACCUGUUAUGGAGACAGCAAUAUUUUAGGUACAGAAAUGAAUCAAGGAACAUAGCCUUUUUCUAUAAUUCACUAAUUCCUUUGUUAAGAAAAGAUUUGAAAUUAGGAUUGUUUAACAUGAGAACAAAAAUUUAGCGUUAACCUUUAUCCAUUUUAAGUUUUGUAAAUGAAUUUUAUUUAUCAUUUGUAUAUCAUUGUUAUUCAUGUGUUUCUUGAGUGUCUAUCUGAUUUUACAUUUAUAAUGUUAAAAAUAGAUCACUGACCACUAAAUAAUAAGAAUAUUCAUACUCAUUAUCCUAUUUCCCUGUUUUUACAUCCUAUUACUUAAGGAGAUCACUCUUUUUAAACGCUUUAAUGUUCUUUAUUUGACAAAAUUUACUACUAUCUUACUUGAUUCUCAGUAUGGGGAUAUUUUAUUAAUAUUUCAUCAAAAUCUAUUCAAGGAAUUCAGAAGGGCCCUGUAGCAUAAUGGAAUAUCUUACAAUAUUAAUUUUUCCUUAAGUUUUCUGAAAUCAUGUUGACAAUCAAAACUUAUUUAAGAGGCUCAGCCUUAAAGCUGCAUGGCAUAUGAAGGCAGAAAUUUUUUCCUUCCUAUCUGAGUCAGCAUUUUGUCAAUUUCCAUAAUACUAAGGACUGUGAUAUUUCUGAGAUGGACAUGCUUUGAAAUACUUUUUUUUUUUUUAAGUAAAAAUGUAAGCCUCUUUCUCCCAGUACUCAGUCUUAAGACUUUCUGCAGGCUUGCUGAUAAGAUUCACUGCUGCUCAGGUACAUAAGAUGUAAUGAAAUUGGAUGCUCAUGCUGGGCUUUGUAAAUAAAAUGAGAUUGACCCCCAGCCAUUUUCUCAUUUAUCUGAUUUACAUUGUAAAAUCAAGAUCUACACUAUUGAUUAGAGAAUAAUUAGUUAAUUAUGAGCAGGGAAAUACAAAGUUAUGUGGGGUUUGAGCACAGCAGGUUGUACUGCUGAAAAAUUUCCAAAGGCAUGAGCAGAUGGAGAUCAGUUUAUUAAAGAACAAAGCAGCCGUGUUUCAGUUAUGAAAAUGUCUAAUCGUUCUCUCGUGCUGUGAAGAGGUUCUUGACCUUAUUGUGUGUUUUUACAUGAAUUCUUUUAUUUCGUUUUAUUUUUUCCUUUCAGUUUUAGUCUUGUAACUGGCUGCUGCCGAUGUAGCAAACUGAAUUGAUCUUAUUUAAGUGAUCAUUAAAUGUGACUUUGAAUUUCAAUAAUUAUCCAAAUAUUUUUCCAGUUUACGUACUUUAAUGUGUAGAGAAUAUUUUUGUCUUUUCUACCACUCAUUCAUUAUUGAUGUGAUGAAAGUCUGUAGAAGCAUUAAUGAAAAUAUGUUCAAGACCUCCACAUUAGUCUUUGUGAAAUAUAAUAUAAAAGACAUUUUGUAAUUAUUUAGAAAAUGAGCAUAUAGGUGAUUUACACUAAAAGUGUUAUAAAAAGGAGUAGCGUUUGCCUUUAUUGAUAUUAAAUGUUAUUCUAAUAUUGGUAGAAUGCAGAGUUUUGUGCAAGCUCAUAUUAUUUUAGAAGUGAUUUAACUCAUGGGCCACAAACCUGCAUUUUAUCCAUCUGUUAAAAUGAAUAAUUGAAAUAAUUGGCUACUGUGAAAGAGCCUAUCGCUACAGCUUAAUACAUUUGUGUAGGUUUUUCAGCUGCUAGUAAGAUUUUAUGUAAGUAAUGUUAGUAUUCAAGACCAAUUCUUUUGAUCAUUCUUGUGUAGAAUUUUUACAUAGAAAUGAUGAAAGUGUAAGAAAACCCAACUCAUCAAUUCUCUUGAUAUUUAGUUGUGGGUUUUUGUUUUUUUUUUUAAGUGAACGGAUAUAACAGUAUAUAUUUUCAAAGUCAGUUCUUUAUUUUACUCUAUGUAGACUUGGAAGGGAUCUAAAUCAAAUAUUCAUCGACAUAAAAAUGGCUAUGAUUAUGGAUCAACCUGGUCAUAAAACAGGUACAUCACUUUUCAAGUCCUGUGUUAUGGAUUUCUAUUCUUCCUGAAAUUUAACUGAUCAUCUGGCUAUAACAUAUAUUUAGGAGGUUCACUUAAUUUUUUUUAGUUAGUUUUGAAAAGUAGUUAUUUAGUGUACUCUCCUAGUGAAAUUAUCAAUUGGGAAUUAAGAGAGUUUAAGAAACUCUUUCGAAGACUGGCGUGUCUCUUAGGUGUGGACGGAAAUAAAUAAGUUGUUUCCUUUUACUUGUAUGCAUAUUCUCAGUAAUCACGUAAACACAUGACUGGUUGCUUCUAUGGAUCAUAGGACAUAUGAACAUAAAUCAUUUUCUUCCUCUUCUUUGUCUAGGGUGCUAUACUUAACCAUAUGCUAAGUAAGUAUUUUAAAUACAUAUAGAACUGUGUUUAUUUGGUCACUGCAUUUUGUUAAAUGAAUAUGUAAAAGAACAUAUAGGUAUAGCUGCUUUAUUAUUUAUGUCUGUAUCCAUUAUGAAUCUGACACCUAGGAAGUGUAUUUAGUAAGAAUCUAAUUAAACAAUCAAGUUUCCUUUUCUUAUAAAUGGGAUUUAUUUUAUCUCACUCAAAAUUGUAAUUUUAGAAUGUCCUAUAGGAUAAUGUUAAUGUGUACAGUUUUAUUAGAUGUUUAGAGGAUAUUCUUUUAGCAUCUAGUUUGCAUUUUAUUAAAAAACAGUUUCUUAUAGGUUAGUUUUAUAUUAUCUUUUAAUAUUUUAAGACAUCUUCCUAUUUAAUAUGUGUGCUAUUGGUAUAAUUGUUUUUAUUACAUAAACAUUUGUGUUAUUGAAUAAAGUAUAUUGUAUUAUAUCUCUGUGCUUUUUGGGUCAAUGACUGCUUUUGCACAAGAUUUAUUAUUUUGAUAAGUUAAAUAUGUACUAUGUUAUGUAUUGCAAUUAUGAAUUUAUAUGUAGGAAGAAGAUGUAGAGGUCAUAAAUAAUAAUUUGAUCAGUAACUGCUUAAACUCUGUUUCAGCUUUUAGAUAACAGAAUGAUUGCAGACAGAGCCUUAUGAGUUUCUGAUUUUUGAGUUUUUAAAAUGAUCUAAAUUUGUAAUUUAGCCAUAAUUUAUUGGCUGACAAAAUUUGCUGACCUUUACAAAGUGGUGUGUGUGUACAUGAAAUAAAUAAUUCACUAUUUUUUACCAUCUAAAUUUUCUUUGAUUUCUAGGAUUCUUAAUGGCAUCAUUUACAUUUGUCUGUGGUGAAUUAAUUCUUGCAAAUUCUGCUGGACUUCACUUGUAUCACUCAGGAUGUUUUCGUUACCAGCACAUGAAGCUAUAGAUUUCUUCAGUUAAAUAUUUUAGUAUAGAAACAACUAUAUUUUUUCCACAUGGAAAUAAUUUUAGUCAUUCUUAGAAAAGGCUUAUGUUUACAUAUUUUUUUACUAACAGAGUUAUUGACUUCAUGAUUGGGUUAUUUCUUUUUGUUUUUUCCUCUCCUGGAUUUUGGCAGUUCCUAAGAGUAUUAACUACUCCUUUUUGCUACUUAGUCUUGGAAUUACAGUUUUUAUUUACCAGUGAGUGAACUAUAACUUGAGAGAACUCCUAUAUCACCCUUGAUUCUAACAGGCGAAUUCUGCCUUUCCUCUGGAACCCAUCACUAACAUAUGAGUUCCAUGUGUAGACUGAGUCAUUCUAAAAAGUAUCACUAAUGAAGGAAUUAGUAAGGAUUAGGUCACCUCCAAAUGGCAUAUACGUCAACAUUAUCUUCUAAGAAAUCUAGCAUAUAAAAUUUUUCUUUUCCCUUUUGCAUUUAUUAUUGAGCUGAAAGAUAACUUGUUUACAAUUAAUUGAAAUCAGCUACAAAUUAAAACUAUAUCAAUGUAGCAAACUUGUUCUUAAUUUCUUACCUUGAAAAAAAAAUAUAUGUAUACACACACACACCAGCAAGAACCACCUUAGUACAUGAUGGUGAAAGGUAGUGAAUUAUGAUUCAUCUUUAUAUUCAUCAUAGUGGUUGACUCUAGUUAUACACUAGAAAUCAUAAUUUACAAGUUAUUGUGGCACAGACUUAUAAAGUAAAUGUACAGUAUUAGGUUGUAGUUUGAUAUGAACUAGGAAAACAUUAAUACUAUAACUCUUCACCUAUCAAAAGCCCAGAUUAUUGGCGAUCUAAACUUGCUUAAAAACCCUAAGUUAAGCAAGAAAGACUAUAGUUAACCAAAAUUGAGUCCAUGUACUUAGUAGUUCUCAUUUUCAUGUGUUUUUAAACUGUCAGUUUGCACAGUCCUAAGUCCAGUGAUCUGGUUUCUGAAUUUGCAGUGAAUUAUUGUUGGGGAAAUGCUGCUUAGACAAAUAACACUGACAAUAUCAAAAAGUAGUGACUGAUAUUUUUCAUGCAAGUGAAGACCUAUAAAAGUUGAAUAUAAGAAUUCAAACAGAAGAGCAGACUGAUUGUACUUAUUUCCAAACAGAAAAGGCGGGCAUACUGUUAGGCAUGUAGCAGCAUCUGUUACUCAUACUUGUGACCCUGGGAUGACAAAGAUAGAGUAAAUUGUAUUUAAUGGAUUUUCUUGAUGAAGCAAAGAAUGUGGUUGUCUUUAAAUUUCCCAUUAAAGAUGACUGAAAUACUAGUUUCCAUGCUUGAAGGAAUAUGCCCUCAGCUAUCUAAAAAUCUCAACCUUUUCAUACUCGUAAAUGCUUAUGCUCUGAAGGGUCCUCUAUGUGUUUAAUGUAAUUGGAAUUUUAACAAUUGAAAGGUAAAUAAGUUGAGGUGAGAAGAACAUAAAAUUGUGUGGGCUUGCCAUUUAGUUUUAUGUAAUUUUGAUGUUAGCUAUAUAUUGUCUAUUACUUUUUCUUUAUAUUAGAACAACAGGUAUUUAAACAUUUUAACUGCUUUUAAAUAUAUUUUUGGAUAGUUUAUUUACAAUAUUGGCACAGUAAAUGAAGUACUGUUUGUUCUUCCUAUUUGAUUUGAUUUUUUCAUAUAGCUGGAAUUAUUAUAGUAAACAUUUUUAUUCAAGUCCAUCUCUUUAGUCCAAGCAAAGGUUUGGAAAAAUACAUACGUUUAUUUGGUUAUAAGAAGUAAACUGUAGAGGAAGGAGCACGUAAACUUGUGACAUAUAAUUGUGUUUUAAACUUCUUUUUACCUGAAUAACUUAGCUAAGUUGCUAAAUUUUCUGAAACUUUUGAUUUCCAAAAUGGGUCUUUGGGAGAUUGGGUUUUAUAGCAUGAUAUGAAAUUUUUACUAUAAAUGUAGAUUUAUAGUUCCCUUUAUUAUGAAAAUAAAUUGUUUUUCUUUGCAUGUUGUUUAUCACAACUCCUUCCCCCUUUUUUUGUAGUAAAAAUUACUGAAUAGUAAUUUUGUACUUUAAGUAAUAUAUGUCCUAUAAAAUAUCCUCCUUGCUUUCUUUCCUCAACUUUUUAAGUUUUAAAUCAGUAAGAGUAACUAUAUAUAAAGAGAAUGUGACAGAUUGGUUUGGAGAAAGUAUUUUUUUAACUUAAAAAAAAGAGUAUAAAGAAAGAGAAGAAUAUAAUCCUUUCUAUAAAAUGUAUACAUCUUUGUUAUUUGUUGUUAAAUUUUGGUCUUGUUAUUCCAACUGAUGCAAAAUUCUUUUUAAAAAACACUGAAAUAAUACAGAUCUUUCUUCAUUGUCAGCAGGAUGAGAUUGUCUGAAACGAAGAAUAGGUGUGAUGAAUGCAGAUUGUGCUACCAUUUUGGUUGUUUGGAUCCUCCUUUGAAAAAGUCUCCUAAACAAACAGGCUAUGGAUGGAUAUGUCAGGAG